rnacentral:lncRNA from 1 species
GUGAAGUCAUGUGAGUGAUUCAGUAUAUGCUUUGUAUGGCUGGAGAAAGCUCAGUAGAUACAAGAAAAAGCAGUGUGUAACAGAUCUCCCCCCACCAUGCAGUGAUCUAAGAGAUGGACCCAGGCUAAAUGGUUUGGAAUAGUUCACCAGUGAAGUCAUCUCAACCAGCACAGGGCCUUGACUCCUAACAACAAUCACACGAACUUGGAAGAGGAGCCUUCCCCACCUGAACCUUCACUUGAGACCUCGUCCUUGGCCAUCCUCUACAUCUGGAUUCAUGAUACAGAGAAACUUGAGUAAUGAUGACAAUAGCAGUCCAGUGUGCAUGGAUGCUGACGUGGAUGCUGUCUCCCAUUCUUACCACUGGAUGGGAAGAAAUGAUAGAUGCAAUCCAGCCAUUGUGUUCUCGACUCUCAGUUCCAUCUUCUCAACUGACAUUGUCUUCCAAAGUCCGUGCCACACCACAGCCUGGAACAUCUCCCAAAGUGGUAUCUUGAUGCAAUGGUAGAGCUCAUGUCACAGUAUUGUAUGUCUCAGGUUUGAAUAACUCACCAGUGAAGUCAUCUUGACCUGGACAGAAAUUGAAUCCUCCCGAGAAUCCCAGGAGCUGGGUAGGUGAUCCUUCCCCAGAUGAGCCUUCCCUUGAAAUCUCUGCCAGGCAUCUGACCCAGAGAAACUACCAUGAUCAUGGACUGCAUUCUCCAUACCAUGUUCAUAUCUUCAGUGGGAAAACAAACUCCUGAGUCCUGGAGACCUAGAAUGAGAGACACAGCUGACCUUGACCGUAUUUCUCACUUCUGAGAAGAUUGUAGCAGUAAUUCAGGUGCUAUUAUUUGGGGCAUUUAUAAUUCAGUAAACCUUCUUACCCCUCUAAUCUUACAAUUCACCCCAUAGGAAAGGAUAGUUUCAUUUAAAUUGGCAAUCUUAAGUCAUGGAGGUUUGCUCUUUUUAUUUCAUUAUAACAGGAGUUUCUGUAAGGUAAGUGACUUGUACAAUCCCGUUUUCCUCUUUAUUUCAAUGCAUACAUAUGGUCUAUUAUGAUGUGUACUGUUAAGAUCAUCCAUGACCAAAUUCUUCAGGAAAAAAAAAUCACCAAGUGGCAGGCCAUGAAGGAGACAGAAGUAGAUUUGUAGAAGGACAGACUCAUCUCUAGGUGGCAAGAGGGUUGAGGAGCUCUGAGUGCUCAGGUUUAAGACUGGAAAAGUGAUUAGACAUGAAACUCUGCUACCAUAAUGUCCCAGGCACAGAGGACACAGUGCUGAGCACUAAGCUCCUAAACAUUACCAUGAGUCUGGAUUGGCUGAAUCUGGAUUGGCCACCAGAAUUCUCAGAAAGAUGCCAUUGAAAACACCCCAUCAUCUGACCACAUCCUUAGGCAAGAACCCAGUGCUGUCUCUGCCCUCUAGUCUGAAUACUGAAUCAAGUUUAAAGGGUGCAUGACUCCUACACUUGAGAUUAGGGCUUCUUGUUCACUGAAUUGAGCCCUAGUAGAAGCUGAAACUCUCGGUACAAAUAUGCUCAACAUUCUAAAUUAUAAAUUAUAAGAGUUUCCUCUUCAUUCAGUACACUAUUUGGGGAACAUCAAAGCCUGUUUCAUUUUCUAAGUAUCGACAAGCGGGGCUGACAAGAGUAACAAGUGGUCAGAGCAAGGCAUUUCGUGAAAACAGCAAUGCACAGGUGUCUGCAGUCCCUGCUUACAGUGAGAUUCACAUGACCAUCGUUCAUGGGAUACGAAGGAUAAAAGGGGAGGGAGAAAAAAAUAUGUAGUUGAUCUGGAUGAAGAAUCGGAUUUGAAAGCAACUUAGAAUAAUCUCUGCUUAUAUUUCUAAGAUUAAGGCAAAAAGUCUCAAGAUACAGGAUUUUCUGUCUUCAGAGAGCUACACUCCGCUGCAAACUUUCAAGUAACACUUCACCAUUUCUAUCUUCCUUCUCCAUGGGAUCUUUGAGCCAUAAUUUAUAAAAUCACCUCUACAUCUCUUGUAUUUUUGUUAUGUUUAAUAACCACUUGAGGUCUCUCUAGGGACAGUGACUAUAAAUUAUCACCCUGCCCAACAGGACUUCAGGAAACUGUGUCCUGGAUGUUUACAGUGUGCCUUUCAUGGGAUACUUAUUUAUCCUGGUGGAUACCCCAAAGCAUAAGUGUACAAUCUUUGACCCAGCAUCCUUCUCACAGGAUAUUUGUUUAUACCGUCAGACACCCUUGUUGCACUUGUCGGACCUGUGUCCACUCCAUUCCCACCAAGGUAGCCACUAUCUAGGAGAGCUCUGAGUUCGAAAACAGUUGAGUUCACAUGUGUUGCUCGUGUGAGACACAGAGGAGGCAACUCAACAAAGCACAGGUAUUUCUUGCAGUUGGGGAUCGUUGGGUACCAUUGCAGGGUCUAACUGACACAUUAGGUCUUCUCCAAUCUGCAAGUUCAUAGUCUUCACUUCUUUUUCUUGACCUUGACCCUGUUGAAGUGUACAGGUCAGAUAUUUUGUAAGAUGUCCCACAAUAUGGAUUUGUCUCAUGAUUUCUCAUGAUUAAACUAGGGACAUGUAUACAUUAAACACAUGUCAUCUAAGUUUGAAGACAAG